rnacentral:rRNA from 1 species
UACAGAGGUCUCAAGCGUUGUUCGGAUUCACUGGGCGUAAAGGGUGCGUAGGUGGUCGGGUAAGUCCGAUGUGAAAUCUCCAGGCUCAACCUGGAAAUGGCAUUGGAUACUAUUCGGCUUGAGGAGUGGAGGGGGGACUGGAAUUCUCGGUGUAGCAGUGAAAUGCGUAGAUAUCGAGAGGAACACCAGUGGCGAAGGCGAGUCCCUGGACACUUCCUGACACUGAGGCACGAAAGCUAGGGGAGCAAACAGG